rnacentral:piRNA from 1 species
UCAUACUUAAAUAUGAUUUAAUGAACUCCA